CCUACGGGAGGCAGCAGCGGGGAAUUUUGGACAAUGGGCGCAAGCCUGAUCCAGCCAUUCCGCGUGCAGGACGAAGGCCUUCGGGUUGUAAACUGCUUUUGUACGGAACGAAAAGGUCCUGGUUAAUACCCGGGGCUCAUGACGGUACCGUAAGAAUAAGCACCGGCUAACUACGUGCCAGCAGCCGCGGUAAUACGUAGGGUGCAAGCGUUAAUCGGAAUUACUGGGCGUAAAGCGUGCGCAGGCGGUUAUGUAAGACAGAUGUGAAAUCCCCGGGCUCAACCUGGGAACUGCAUUUGUGACUGCAUAGCUAGAGUACGGUAGAGGGGGAUGGAAUUCCGCGUGUAGCAGUGAAAUGCGUAGAUAUGCGGAGGAACACCGAUGGCGAAGGCAAUCCCCUGGACCUGUACUGACGCUCAUGCACGAAAGCGUGGGGAGCAAACAGGAUUAGAUACCCUGGUAGUCCACGCCCUAAACGAUGUCAACUGGUUGUUGGGUCUUCACUGACUCAGUAACGAAGCUAACGCGUGAAGUUGACCGCCUGGGGAGUACGGCCGCAAGGUUGAAACUCAAAUGAAUUGACGG
rnacentral:rRNA from 1 species